rnacentral:rRNA from 1 species
GGGGAAUUUUGGACAAUGGGCGCAAGCCUGAUCCAGCAAUGCCGCGUGCAGGAAGAAGGCCUUCGGGUUGUAAACUGCUUUUGUACGGAACGAAACGGUCCUGGUUAAUACCUGGGGCUAAUGACGGUACCGUAAGAAUAAGCACCGGCUAACUACGUGCCAGCAGCCGCGGUAAUACGUAGGGUGCAAGCGUUAAUCGGAAUUACUGGGCGUAAAGCGUGCGCAGGCGGUUUUGUAAGACAGACGUGAAAUCCCCGGGCUCAACCUGGGAAUGGCGUUUGUGACUGCAAGGCUGGAGUGCGGCAGAGGGGGAUGGAAUUCCGCGUGUAGCAGUGAAAUGCGUAGAUAUGCGGAGGAACACCGAUGGCGAAGGCAAUCCCCUGGGCCUACACUGACGCUCAUGCACGAAAGCGUGGGGAGCAAAC